UUUGUAUUUUUUUUUUUUGUUCUUUAUUUCUUUUGAAGCUUGUAAUGGAUAUGAACAUUGUAGCUAGCUGUAGCGCAAUAUAUAGAGUUUCAGAGAGUUAUAUGUGCACAUAUUUGUAAGAUGUUAUUUAAUUUUGGCUAUUUUUCUUUCUCUACAUAUUUAUGUAUAUUAUAAAUAUGAUUAAGAUGAAAUAAAGGAUAUAUUUUGUCGUCUAGGAAAAGUAAAUAUCGAAAGGCAUGCAUUAACUCUAUGUAUGGAUCUUGUAGUAUGUUUUUUAAUUCAAAAUGUAGCUCCUACGAAGAUGAAUUAAAGAUCAUACUAGAUCUGGACCCGCCCGACCGGGCGGGUGUAUUUUUCUGUUUACGUAAUGCAAUUAAAAAUUUUCACACUUUAUAUAAUGUAUCAAAUUUUUAUACAAAUGAUGACAAAAAUACAUCACAUAAUACAAAUAUUGCUGUAACAUAAUUUGAUCACACCGUGGUAUUUCUAAUGUUUUACCUGUUAUUUAUCUUAGAUCAUCACUUAUUCAUCCUGAUCUACUUUACUAAAAUUCAAAAAAAAAUACAAAGAUUAGAACUAACAGUUUGAUCAGCUAAAACUAUUUCUAAUGUUUCAUCAGCGUAAUGUGGGUUUUGUAUCCAUGAGUGAAUCAGUUUUACUUGAACAUGCCACACUUCCUUAAAGGGUUUAAGAUCGCUGAUCAAAUGAAAUCUUUUGUUAGCAGACAUGAUUUUUUUGUGAAGUAAGUCGUAAAAGAAUGUGUAGAAUGAGUUUGUACUCAGAUAGAAUAUAUAGUAGAGAGACAAUACCCUAGUUGAGAAUAAAUAUCUUUGCUUAUUUUGCAAGGCAUAUUAGGUGAAAUAAAUGAAAAUAAUAUUUUGUUGAUUAUGUUUCUUGUUUUUGAAAUUAUGGUAAAAUCUUAAUGGUUAUGAUUUGAAAUAGGAAAUGAUUAGAUUUUAUGCUUGUUCCGCAAGUGUGUGGGUCAAUUUUUUUAACGCAAUACAAAACGCUAAAGUUGAGGAAAUAUCUUAACCACCCUCGUAAGGCAUCUCUUGUUUGCAUUAGUAUGCAGAAUAUGUUGUUGAAAUUCGAAUAUUAUGUUUAUUGUUUAGUAGUUAUGGAUCAAAUUAUAUAUAUAUAUAUAUAUAUAUAUAUAUAUAUAUAUAUUCCUUGUUCCGAAAUUGAAGGGGAAAUCUUAUUUAGAAACAAAUUAGUAAAUUCUGCAAAUAUUUCUAUUUUUUUUUUCCGAAGAUUGUUAGGGAAAAAGAUUUUCAAUUCAAAAAUAUUAGAUUUUAAUAAGAUAGAUAAUGAUUAUUAAUUAUUUGGACAUAUGGAAGUCAGUGGAAUAUUUCAAUAUAAUAAAGUGGUUACAAAUAUGCUACAAACACCACCGUGAAAUUAAGUGAACUGAAAUUGUUCAACUCGUGUGAGAAUCAUUGUUAAUUUUUCUUAGUUUAAUUACUUAUAUAAUUUGAUGUUCGUGCAGGUUACGUAAGCUAAGGAUGAGAUUUAUAUAAUAAGCAAUGUUAGGGUGUCGAUAUUGCAGAGGAAUUAUUUAUGUUUGUUCAUUUAAUUAAAAAUAUGUAGUUUGUUUGAGUUUAUUAAUAAUAUGUUUCCUUUUUUUGUGGUUACGUAAGCUAAGGAUGAGAUUUAUAUAAUAAGCAAUGUUAGGGUGUCGAUAUUGCAGAGGAAUUAUUUAUGUUUGUUCAUUUAAUUAAAAAUAUGUAGUUUGUUUGAGUUUAUUAAUAAUAUGUUUCCUUUUUUUGUGGUUAGUUUGAGUUAUUUUAGGAAAACAAUGAAUAAGUGGAAAAGACAAUCAUUUUUAAUGUAAAACUAAUUUAAUUCUCAAUGGCAUUUGACUGUAAAUAUUAUGUAACUUUUAGGAUUAUUCUAUAAGUGUACUUCUGUUUUAAUAAAGUAGAUAUUUCGUUAGCAUGCUGACGUAAACAACUACAUUCAGUCACAAAUAAAUACUAUUCGUCUAAAUAUAUUCAAAAUGAUUAUUACCAAAAAAAAAAUAUUCAAAAUGAUUAUUUUUCAUUAAAAAAAUAUCGCAAAGUAUGCAAAAAUGCGAUGGAAAGCAGGAAGCGUGACUCAGUUAUUCGUCAAUAGUCACAAAACAUAGCGGAUGGUAAUAACUAAUAAUGGAAGUUUUAAUCACACAAUUCACAAUUAAAAUACAUUUACUAGUAAUACAUAGUACAUAUGAUAUGUUUGCAUUUUUUAUAGUUUUGAUGCAUCAUCAUGCAUGCGAAGUUGACUUUGUAUUAUGAAGAUAUAUGCCUUAUAGAAAAUAUUGGGUUCUUGAUAAUUAAUGGAAAAGCAUUUAAAGUUGUUCUCUCCAUGAGUCUUGUCUAAACAGCUCAGGUGCUUUCUUUACAAUUCAACCAUACACAACUCUAACAUACACGUGUGUCUUUCUUUUGUCCUUUUGUUCUUUUUCUCAUCUUGUCUUAAUUCUUUUUUGUCGUGUUUUCGUUCUGUUUCCAUCUUUGUUCCAUGCAUGUACAUUUCCUUAGUUUCGUCUUCUAGUUGUCGACCAUGUUUAGACAAUUAUUUUCACUUUUACAAAACAAUACAAAUUAAAAAUGGACAGCUCUAUUAAUUUAGUACGAGCUAGCUAGUAAUGUUCGUAAAAAGCUGUAUCGGCUCAGUAUGGAUGCAAAGCGCUCUAUGACCAAUGUAAUUUUUUUUAUCGUAAGCGGUGGCUUUAGGUAGACAGGGGGAUACAACGGGCUAGAUAGUAGAUACCAUUGAUAUGGGAUUGGAUGGUCUACGCUCUAGCAGUACUUUCAAAGUUUUAAGAUGGUCUUAUUGUUUUAGCUAAACAUAAAUUUAUCGUUGCUCAAAAAAAAAACAGAAAUUUAUCUAGUUCAAUUUUUUUUUGACAUCAUCUAGUUCAAUUAUACAUCUGAAUAAACAUAAAGUAUAGUUUUACAUUAUGAAUAGAAAUAAACUUCUUUGUUAACACUAUAACUACAAAAUCUAUAAUUAUAAGCUUUUACCAAAAUAAAUAAAUAUAAAUGAA